rnacentral:rRNA from 1 species
UACCAGCUCCUCGAGUGGUCAGGGCGUUUAUUGGGCCUAAAGCAUCCGUAGCCGGCUCAGUAGGUCUUCUGUUAAAUCCAACGGCUCAACCGUUGGUCUGCAGGAGAUACCGCUGGGCUAGGAGGCGGGAGAGGCGGACGGUACUCCGAGGGUAGGGGUAAAAUCCUUUGAUCCCCGGAAGACCACCAGUGGCGAAGGCGGUCCGCCAGAACGCGCUCGACGGUGAGGGAUGAAAGCUGGGGGAGCGAACCGG